rnacentral:rRNA from 1 species
GCUAACAUGCAGUCGAACGAGAGCUUCGGCUCUAGUGGCGAACGGCGGAGUAAUACGUGAACAACGUGCCCCUAAGUCUGGGACAAACGCAGAAAUGCCAUGAAUACCAGAUGUGACCGAGAGAGGACAUCCUUUUUCGAUUAAAGGUUUUUCGCUUAGGGAGCGGUUCACGGCCUAUCAGCUAGUUGGUGGGGUAAAGGCCUACCAAGGCGACGACGGGUAGGGGGUCUGAGAGGAUGAUCCCCCCGAGUGGGACUGAGACACGGCCCACACACCUACGGGUGGCAGCAGUUGGGAAUCUUGCACAAUGGGGGAAACCCUGAUGCAGCGACGCCGCGUGGAGGAUGACGGAUUUAGGUCUGUAAACUCCUUUUGCAGGGAAAGACUUAGGACGGUACCCUGAGAAUAAGGACCGGCUAACUACGUGCCAGCAGCCGCGGUAAGACGUAGGGUCCAAGCGUUGUCCGGAUUUACUGGGCGUAAAGAGCGCGUAGGCGGUCCGUUAAGUGUGAAGUGAAAUCUCCAGAGCUCAACUCGGAAACUGCUUCGCAUACUGGCGGACUUGAGGAAUGCAGAGGUGAAUAGAAUUCCUGGUGUAGCGGUGAAAUGCGUAGAUAUCAGGAGGAAUACCCAUGGCGAAGGCAGUUCACUGGGCAUUAUCUGACGCUGAGGCGCGAAAGCGUGGGGAGCAAACAGGAUUAGAUACCCUGGUAGUCCACGCCCUAAACGAUGGAUGCUAGGCGUAAGAGGUAUCGACCCCUCUUGUGCCGCAGCUAACGCAUUAAGCAUCCCGCCUGGGGAGUACGGCCGCAAGGUUGAAACUCAAAUGAAUUGACGGGGACCCGCACAAGCGGUGGAGCAUGUGGAUUAAUUCGAUACUAACCGAAGAACCUUACCCAGAUUUGACAUCGAUUGCAACAUCUAGAGAUAGAUGCCUCUCCCAAAAGGAGACAUGAAGACACUUGUUGCAUGGCUGUCGUCAGCUCGUGCCGUGAGGUGUACGGUUAAGUCCGCCAACGAGCGCAACCCUCGUCCUA